UGAAACAGAAAGUCCAGAAGAAAAGGGUCAAAGGAGAUCCUACAGUGACUUUGAUACCUCUCAAGUGUGAUGAGAACUCCAUUGAGUAUGAGGUAAAGUGCAAGGGUACCUCUAAACCGUUCUCUAAAGUCAGAGCUAUUCUCACACAUGAGCUGAAAGAGAAAGGGGAAGCUGCUGUGAAAGGGUUGUUGAGCAGGGUUUUGAAGCUGAACAUGUCUGAUUGUGGAGCUUGUUUUCGAACAGGCCCUCCUGCUCAACCCGACUGAUCCCAGUCACCAAGUCAAGCUAGAGACUUAAACCAAGCGCUUGGUGGGAGGCAACCCACUGGUAAGUGUAAAUAUAACUUGGUGUUGUUUUUGUUUACUCAUUUUUCGUUUUAGUUUAUUGAGUUUCAGGUCAAAAAGCAAAAAAAAAAAAAAAAAAUUCGAGAUACUUCAAAAAUUCUGGGUUGCAGAAACGGAACAACCUACCCCCUGAAAAGAGCGGUUGUUCCAGGCGAUCAUCUGACGAUAGAACACCCAGAAUUUUCAUGGAGCGCCUGCUCCACUCAGGUAAGUAUCUCGACCCCAAAAAAAAAAAAAUACUUAUUCUUGUUUUUUCCUUCUCUCUGAUUUAUUUUCACACCAGGGACGUUGUGAAGUAAGUCUGAGGGAGGGUUUUCGUCGUUUACUAACUCGUUUCUUUCUUUUGUUUUUCUUUUGGGUCAAUUUGAGUCAGUUUUUAUUGAGUCAGUCAAAACUUUGUGGGAAUUAGGACCUUAUUCUGUGUUGAUCACUGACCACCUCGUGCUUUAGUUAUCUUAUUCAGUGACCUUAGCAGUGGCGAAAGACACACAUGUGGACCUGGAACACCCUGACAUAUCUCACUUGAUUCUCCAGAAGUUCUCAGCCGAUCAGGUUACACUGGGUAGACUUAACUCCACCUUACUUGAACCUAAUCUUGACUGAAAUUCUUCUUCUAAUGGGCAUUAGAUCAGGGAAACGAGAACACACUCAGGACUUCUUAUCCUUUUUCUCCAUCUUGUUGAUCCUGAGUGGCUAGCUCAUCUUUAGCUAGUUCCCACCCUGCACCUUAGCCUUUAUUCCACCUUCAUGCAUUUGUUUUUCAGUGUCAUAUGUGCAGAUAUGUGCAAAAAGGUCGGAGAGGAAAGGAUCAACGCAGCCUCCUACUCGUUACUGCUGCAGAAAUUAUGUCAGAAAGGAGAACAAGCAGAUUAAGGGAGCAACCGCUCCAUAACCAAUGAACUGUGCAAGAGCAGGGGUGGAGAACCAGAAUGGUCGCGAAAUCAGAACCACCAGCGGCACUCAGAACGAUCAUGUAUUACCUCCUUCUUCGUCACAUCACCAUAUCAAUCAUCAAAAAAAAAAAAAAAAAAAAAAAAAACGAGAUUAAUGUGAUGGAGAAGGGGAAGAAAGAAAAGAAACAUGGAGCCACUGGAAAGGUCGAGCAAGAAGUUGGUACCAAGUAUUGAAGAGUGUGUAGAGGAAAGUGGAAAGCAGAACAAUCAGUUGCCUGUUCCGUCAUCAGAACAAUCGCACCAGAUAGAGCAAAAACGAGUAGAGGCUGUGGACAUCAAUGGAUCUAUCCUCUCUUGCCAUUUUGUGUGAUAUCCUGCAUCCUCUUCAAUGAAAUGGUAGCCCCUAAACACUCUUAACUCCACCAUUAAAUAGCCUGUUCCACACCUAGACCGUCUACCCUGAAUGAUGCCUGUGAUGAGAAGCUCACGCUACUCUUAAAUGAAUGUAGGGAGUUCUGUCUCGAUAGUGUUGCUUUUUCAGGUUUGAGAUGAAGAGUAUGGAGCCGAUUUUUGAACAGCAGUCAGUGGGGUUCCAGUAAGGGUGUGUUGUCCUAGUUUUACUGCUUGUAUGGUUCAGAGAUUCGUGGUUAAAGUAUGGUUGCUGAGAAUAGGAGAGUUCCCACACUUUCAAACCUUUCUCCCUGUUCUUGAUACUUGACAUUGUUUGAGGACAAACAAGGAUCUAAGUCUGGGGAAUUGAUAUAUGGUGUUUUAUACAUCUUGUAUAUAUGCUUUUAAAUUGGUUUUCAAGUCUUUAUCGAGUCUUCCUAUUCCUUUUGGAGUCAUUACAGGUCUGGAGUUGCAUUGGAUGGGAGAUGGACCAGCUGGAACAAAAGAUGCAGAAAACAGUGCAAUUUAGUGAUUUUCACGCAGAACAGUCUUGAUGACUGUUCCGAGUGAGUGUUCCAGCGGCAGAGAUUUUUAAGGAAACUACAAUCAUUACGGGAUUUGCCCUAAUUAUCCAUAUUUUCUCUCCCAGCCGCCUGUGGCUUUGAUAUAUCAUAUUUUCUGUUUCUCUUUAUCAUUCUACGCUGUUUUGGAGACAAAGAACCAGACCUUAGAGUUGGAGACUUGAGAUUCUGCUACUUUGUAAAGGGAGAAGGCCAUCUCUCUCGAUUUAGAGAAGAACCCCCUGAACCCUAUUACUUUAUUUCAGUCAUAUUUCAUGUUGCUUUAUAUCUCUGUCUCUGUGU
rnacentral:lncRNA from 1 species